CACAGUUGGUAUGAGGUGUUUGUGUCGGUGUGCUGCGUGUGGUUUUCACCGAACAUGUCUAUUAGAUAAUCAUACCUGUUCCAGUGUGAGAUCCCUGCCUGUGAGAAGAGGUGGCUGACAGAUGGAGGUGUUUGUUGCAGUUGGACAUUGAACUCGGGCUGGAUAAUGGACCGCGAUUAGCCGCACCAUAAUCACUGGAUUCCAGCAACACGGCUGUCGAUAACCGGUAGUCCCAGAGAGGUCAAGCUUUUCUCAAGCAUGUUUCAAAUCAAAUGGCUUCUGAGAAUGAACAAGUGGUGAUAGCAUUAAGUCUCCACUGGAGCUAGUAUUUUAAGUCUAUUCCAUAAGCACAAAAAUCAUUUUCACUGAAAUUCUUCCUUUAUAAUUCAACUUUUGGUAAUUCUACCCUCACAUAUUGAUAUUAUUGUGAUACAAUCCAGCAUGAAGUUUAAAUAACUAUUUGUGUUUUAAGAGGAAGAUUCAAUACAUUGUUUUUUUGUUUUGUUUUUUAUAAAGGCGAGGCAUAUCCUGCACUAGCAAAUUUUUGUGUGAGAUGAACUUUUGAUGGAAUGAAAAAAAAACUUUUCUAUUUGAUGUUUAAUGUUUUUUUUUUUUUUUUAAUCUUUUAGUUUUUUCAGUUCUCGUUCCGUUCUGAUUGCUACUUUUCUCUGCGUUUUGCACAUCGUCUUCUGAAACCUAAAAAUGGGGCUCUUUGUUGCCUGGAGCUACAUCUCGAUCUCUCCAUCUCUCUUAAGACUGUACAACUUUAAAGUACGUAUGACAUUGUCAUUUCUUUGUUUGUAUGUUUUGCUUUGUGGUGUGAAAAUGAACAUGGCCAAAUACCCCUGAGACAUUCUCCUGCAAAAUAUUUUGAUCUCUAAUCCAAUUAUGGACUUUCACCUUGUUUGCACUUUAGAUGUCCACAAAAAGAAAAAGCAGAAUAAGAAAGUGAAAAAAUGGUGUGACUGACAGAAAAAAACCUUUCCAAUUACUGUACUCAGUCCUCUACCUCUCCUAAUCUGUCUGACUGGUGACUCCAUGGAUUUUUAAAUGUGUUUUGUGUUGUCGACCAUUCCAGCGUGACCUCUUGCACCUUCCCCAUAACCCUCUGCCCUUACAAAAAAUACAGGGGAGUCAUGGUAUGCACCAGUAAUGACUUUCUAUUCCCCACAUCAGCGCCCUGCCAGCAGCACACUGACAGCUGGCAUCACAAUUCAUUAUGUGUCUGCUGGAAAAGGCUUCAAAGAGCCAGGGAGAAGCUCUCUCCAUAUUUCACUCUGUAGACCUGUCAGUAAAAUAAUCACCAACACUGACAAGUUGCCAGUUGGUUAUUUUUUUAUUUACUCCUUAUUCUUUUUUUUUCAGGCAGAUGUUUUGAGAGCACUGAUCCUGAUUUCAGGGCACACUUACUGUUCUUUGUCCCUCACUUGAAGUAACAUACUUUCUCAUCAGCCCCUCCUUGCAUUAUCUCAUUCAUCACUGUCAACGGAUGGUGAAGUAAAAAUCUUGAUUUUGCUGUAAAAGCAAGAAGAGCGAUUGUGCAGGUUGUCUGGUGGGAGGCAACCUGUCUCCUAACAAUGUUGGUCUAUCUUGGACUGGCUACAGUCACUCUCAGACAGAUUGGCGAAGGCUUGCAAAUAACUGCUGUUUAAUUGAUAAAGGCAGACAGACACAGCCAGCAGAUUGCAAUCAAUCUCAAUCGGCCUGCAUCGAUGAGCAACACUCGUCUGCAAUGCAACUCUUUGCAAUUGGAAAUUUGACUCAACUGGUUGCCAACUGGUCAACUGCAUUUCUCUUUCAACUCAGUGAGUUUCUGUCUGGACCCUGAAUCUAAAUAAUUCUUGUAAAUGUCUGUGUGUGUCGGAGAUCUGUGAUUUUUCUUUCUUUUUUCAUUUUAUUACAGUUCAUUACAGUAUUAUGAUGAACAGAUUGCAUGCAAUUGACAACUUGACCCCAUUUAGUCACAAACUGAUAGCAGACUGAUAGCACGCUUUGAAGCAAAUAAAGUAAAUUAACUAUGGCA
ensembl:lncRNA